AUGGCCAAGAUCACAGGAACAGCCACAUGUGCUCUCUUCAUCUUCUUCUCCUUCGCUUGCUGCCUGCCUCCUCUUGCUGGAUCCUUGUCCUUCGACUACCCAACCUUCCGCUCGGAGGACCAGAAGGCCAUCAAGAUCGAAGGUAACGCUUCCUUCAGUGUCGGGCACAUCGACAUUAGCGGCAACAACUGGGACGUCCGUAAGAGCCAGGGGCGGGCGUCGUACAGUACCCAGCCAAUGUUGCUGUGGGAUGGGCACACAGGCGAGGUGGCUAGCUUCACCACCAGCUUCUCCUUCAUCAUCAACCCCAAGUCCAACAGCAGCAGGGGGGCUGGCAUGGCCUUCUUCCUUGCCAGCUACCCGUCGAGCUUACCGACUGGGUCUGCAGGUUACUACAACCUCGGUCUCACGAACCAAAAAGAUGGUGCUGUGGCGGCAGGCGACAACCGGUUAGUGGCGGUGGAAUUCGACACCUCCAAUGAGACCGAGGUAUCAGAUCCCACUGUGGACCACGUUGGCAUUGACAUCAACUCGUUAAAAUCGGUGAAAACAUUGCCCCUGCCAAACUUCAGCCUCACUGGAAACAUGACUGCCGCAAUCCAGUAUGACAACGUUUCAAGUAUCAUGUCUGUCACACUAUGGCUUGGUGAUGGUCAUGGCCAGAAUUACAGCCUUAGCUCCAAGGUUGAUCUCAAGAGUGCAUUGCCGGAGCUGGUUGCGGUUGGCUUCUCGGCGUCGACGGGCAAAUCCGUUGAGCUGCAUCAAUUGCUUUCUUGGCACUUCAACUCAUCGCUGGAGGGCAAGACGGCAACAGUAGUAGCACCGCCGCCCUCCUCGAGAACUUCCAGUUCCGGAGUCAUAGCAGGAGCCGUUGCUGGGGCAUCGCUGUUCCUCGUGGUGUUCUUCUCCAUGUCAGCCUUCUUGCUACGUCGCCGUCAGAACAAGAAGAAGAGGGAGGCAAAGGAGGAGGAUAUGGACUCGGAAGGCGAGGUGAUCAUGGAGAUAGAGUUCGGGACGGGGCCAAGGAGGUUCCCGUAUCGGUAA
rnacentral:rRNA from 1 species